AUAAGAAGUGCCAUACUGGGUCAGACCAAUGGUCCAUCUAGACCAAUAUUCUUUUUCCAACAGUGGCACAAAUGGCUGCUUUGGAGGCAUAGA